UGACGAGUUUGAUCCUGGCUCAGAACGAACGCUGGCGGCAGGCUUAACACAUGCAAGUCGAACGGCAGCACGGGUGCUUGCACCUGGUGCGAGUGGCGGAACGGGUGAGUAAUACAUCGGAACGUACCUUAUCGUGGGGAUAACGCAGCGAAAGUUGCGCUAAUACCGCAUACGCCCUGAGGGGGAAAGCGGGGGACCGUAAGGCCUCGCGCGAUUAGAGCGGCCGAUGUCUGAUUAGCUUGUUGGUGAGGUAAAGGCUCACCAAGCCAACAAUCUGUAGCUGGUCUGAGAGGACGACCAACCACACUGGAACUGAGACACGGUCCAGACUCCUAC
rnacentral:rRNA from 1 species